rnacentral:lncRNA from 1 species
GAUGAGUGAGAAUCAGGCUCCUGAGGCUUUAAUAUACCGGAGCAAAGGCCAGAGAGGCCACAUGACCAUAGCUCUUAGAAGAUCUGAAAGGAGCUAUCAAAGUCAGGCCUUGAUUCCUCAAAUAUUGAACACACAGGAGUAAUAGGGGUGAGUGUAAAGUUAUCAUGGCCAGAGGAGCCAUGGGUUCCGGCGAGCUUGAGGGAAGAGACUGUAAGAGAGGCUAGGGUUAGGGAAUGUUCGAGAGAGUUUGAGAUAGGGGAGGGGUUUCACAGGCGCCAGAUCAUU